rnacentral:rRNA from 1 species
UUGCUCUUCAACGAGGAAUGCCUAGUAAGCGCAUGUCAUCAGCAUGCGUUGAUUACGUCCCUGCCCUUUGUACACACCGCCCGUCGCUACUACCGAUUGAAUGGCUCAGUGAGGCCUYCGGACUGGCUCGRAGAGGUUGGCAACGACCACUYCGAGCCGGAAAGYUSGUCAAACUCGGUCAUUUAGAGGAAGUAAAAGUCGUAACAAGGUUUCCGUAGGUGAACCUGCGGAAGGAUCAUUACCUAGAGUUNGUAGRCUUYGSNCUGCUAYCUCUUACCCAUGUCUUUUGAGUACYUWCGUUUCCUCGGCGGGUCCGCCCGCCGAUUGGACAANNUUYAAACCCUUUGCAGUUGCAAUCAGCGUCUGAAAAAMYWUAAUAGUUACAACUUUCAACAACGGAUCUCUUGGUUCUGGCAUCGAUGAAGAACGCAGCGAAAUGCGAUAAGUAGUGUGAAUUGCAGAAUUCAGUGAAUCAUCGAAUCUUUGAACGCACAUUGCGCCCCUUGGUAUUCCAUGGGGCAUGCCUGUUCGAGCGUCAUUUGUACCUUCAAGCUCUGCUUGGUGUUGGGUGUUUGUCUCGCCUCUGCGUGUAGACUCGCCUUAAAACAAUUGGCAGCCGGCGUAUUGAUUUCGGAGCGCAGUACAUCUCGCGCUUUGCACUCAUAACGACGACGUCCAAAAGUACAUUUUUACACUCUUGACCUCGGAUCAGGUAGGGAUACCCGCUGAACUUAAGCAUAUCAAUAAGCGGAGGA